UACGUAGGGGGCAAGCGUUGUCCGGAAUCAUUGGGCGUAAAGCGCGUGUAGGCGGCUCGGUAAGUCUGCUGUGAAAGUCCAGGGCUCAACCCUGGGAUGCCGGUGGAUACUGUCGAGCUCGAGUCCGGAAGAGGCGAGUGGAAUUCCUGGUGUAGCGGUGAAAUGCGCAGAUAUCAGGAGGAAUACCGGUGGCGAAGGCGGCAUCCUGGACCGACAUUGACGCUGAGGAGCGAAAGCCAGGGGAGCAAACGGG
rnacentral:rRNA from 1 species